AUGAACGCUAGCGACAGGCUUAACACAUGCAAGUCGAGGGGCAGCACAGGUAGCAAUACCGGGUGGCGACCGGCGCACGGGUGAGUAACGCGUAUGCAACUUGCCUAUCAGAGGGGGAUAACCCGGCGAAAGUCGGACUAAUACCGCAUGAAGCAGGGGCCCCGCAUGGGGAUAUUUGCUAAAGAUUCAUCGCUGAUAGAUAGGCAUGCGUUCCAUUAGGCAGUUGGCGGGGUAACGGCCCACCAAACCGACGAUGGAUAGGGGUUCUGAGAGGAAGGUCCCCCACAUUGGUACUGAGACACGGACCAAACUCCUACGGGAGGCAGCAGUGAGGAAUAUUGGUCAAUGGGCGUAAGCCUGAACCAGCCAAGUCGCGUGAGGGAUGAAGGUUCUAUGGAUCGUAAACCUCUUUUAUAAGGGAAUAAAGUGCGGGACGUGUCCCGUUUUGUAUGUACCUUAUGAAUAAGGAUCGGCUAACUCCGUGCCAGCAGCCGCGGUAAUACGGAGGAUCCGAGCGUUAUCCGGAUUUAUUGGGUUUAAAGGGUGCGUAGGCGGCCUUUUAAGUCAGCGGUGAAAGUCUGUGGCUCAACCAUAGAAUUGCCGUUGAAACUGGGGGGCUUGAGUAUGUUUGAGGCAGGCGGAAUGCGUGGUGUAGCGGUGAAAUGCAUAGAUAUCACGCAGAACCCCGAUUGCGAAGGCAGCCUGCCAAGCCAUUACUGACGCUGAUGCACGAAAGCGUGGGGAUCAAACAGGAUUAGAUACCCUGGUAGUCCACGCAGUAAACGAUGAUCACUAGCUGUUUGCGAUACACUGUAAGCGGCACAGCGAAAGCGUUAAGUGAUCCACCUAGGGAGUACGCCGGCAACGGUGAAACUCAAAGGAAUUGACGGGGGCCCGCACAAGCGGAGGAACAUGUGGUUUAAUUCGAUGAUACGCGAGGAACCUUACCCGGGUUUGAACGCAUUCGGACCGAGGUGGAAACACCUUUUCUAGCAAUAGCCGUUUGCGAGGUGCUGCAUGGUUGUCGUCAGCUCGUGCCGUGAGGUGUCGGCUUAAGUGCCAUAACGAGCGCAACCCUUGCCACUAGUUACUAACAGGUAAAGCUGAGGACUCUGGUGGGACUGCCAGCGUAAGCUGCGAGGAAGGCGGGGAUGACGUCAAAUCAGCACGGCCCUUACAUCCGGGGCGACACACGUGUUACAAUGGCGUGGACAAAGGGAGGCCACCUGGCGACAGGGAGCGAAUCCCCAAACCACGUCUCAGUUCGGAUCGGAGUCUGCAACCCGACUCCGUGAAGCUGGAUUCGCUAGUAAUCGCGCAUCAGCCAUGGCGCGGUGAAUACGUUCCCGGGCCUUGUACACACCGCCCGUCAAGCCAUGGGAGCCGGGGGUACCUGAAGUCCGUAACCGCGAGGAUCGGCCUAGGGUAAAACUGGUGACUGGGGCU
rnacentral:rRNA from 1 species